rnacentral:rRNA from 1 species
UACGUAGGGUGCGAGCGUUAAUCGGAAUUACUGGGCGUAAAGGGUGCGCAGGCGGUUCCGCAAGUCAGGCGUGAAAUCCCCGGGCUUAACCUGGGAAUGGCGCUUGAAACUACGGGACUGGAGUAUGGCAGAGGGAGGUGGAAUUCCACGUGUAGCGGUGAAAUGCGUAGAGAUGUGGAGGAACACCGAUGGCGAAGGCAGCCUCCUGGGCCAAUACUGACGCUCAUGCACGAAAGCGUGGGGAGCAAACAGG